rnacentral:rRNA from 1 species
UACGAAGGGGGCUAGCGUUGCUCGGAUUGACUGGGCGUAAAGGGCGCGUAGGCGGUUCGUACAGUCAGACGUGAAAUUCCUGGGCUCAACCUGGGGGCUGCGUUUGAUACGUGCGGACUUGAGUGCGGAAGAGGGUCGUGGAAUUCCCAGUAUAGAGGUGAAAUUCGUAGAUAUUGGGAAGAACACCGGUGGCGAAGGCGGCGACCUGGUCCGAUACUGACGCUGAGGCGCGAAAGCGUGGGGAGCAAACAGG